AUACGGAGGAUCCGAGCGUUAUCCGGAUUUAUUGGGUUUAAAGGGUGCGCAGGCGGCCAUUUAAGUCAGCGGUUAAAUCGUGGGGCUCAACCCCAUUCUGCCGUUGAUACUGGGUGGCUUGAUUGCGGUCGAGGUUGGCGGUAUUCGUUGUGUAGCGGUUGGAUGCAUAGAUAUGACGAAGAACACCGAUUGCGUAGGCAGCUGACCAGACCGCAAAUGACGCUCAUGCACGAAAGUGCGGGGAUCGAACAGGAUUAGAUACCCUGGUAGUCCGCACAGUAAACGAUGAAUACUUGUUUUCGGCGAUAUAAUGUCGGAGGCAAAGCGAAAGCGAUAAGUAUUCCACCUGGGGAGUACGCCGGCAACGGUGAAACUCAAAGGAAUUGACGGGG
rnacentral:rRNA from 1 species